rnacentral:rRNA from 1 species
AACGAACGCUGGCGGCAUGCCUAACACAUGCAAGUCGAACGAGACCUUCGGGUCUAGUGGCGCACGGGUGCGUACCGCGUGGGAACCUGCCCUUAGGUUCGGAAUAACUCCCCGAAAGGGGUGCUAAUACCGGAUAAUGUCUUCGGACCAAAGAUUUAUCGCCUUUGGAUGGGCCCGCGUUGGAUUAGCUAGUUGGUAGGGUAAAAGCCUACCAAGGCGACGAUCCAUAGCUGGUCUGAGAGGAUGACCAGCCACACUGGGACUGAGACACGGCCCAGACUCCUACGGGAGGCAGCAGUGGGGAAUAUUGGACGAUGGGCGAAAGCCUGAUCCAGCAAUGCCGCGUGAGUGAUGAAGGCCUUAGGGUUGUAAAGCUCUUUUACCCGGGAUGAUAAUGACAGUACCGGGAGAAUAAGCUCCGGCUAACUCCGUG